rnacentral:rRNA from 1 species
AGCGAACGCUGGCGGCAGGCCUAACACAUGCAAGUCGAACGGAUCCUUCGGGAUUAGCGGCGGACGGGUGAGUAACACGUGGGAACGUGCCCUUUGGUUCGGAACAACUCAGGGAAACUUGAGCUAAUACCGGAUGUGCCUUUCGGGGGAAAGAUUUAUCGCCAUUGGAGCGGCCCGCGUCUGAUUAGCUAGUUGGUGAGGUAAAGGCUCACCAAGGCGACGAUCAGUAGCUGGUCUGAGAGGAUGAUCAGCCACAUUGGGACUGAGACACGGCCCAAACUCCUACGGGAGGCAGCAGUGGGGAAUCUUGCGCAAUGGGCGAAAGCCUGACGCAGCCAUGCCGCGUGAAUGAUGAAGGUCUUAGGAUUGUAAAAUUCUUUCACCGGGGACGAUAAUGACGGUACCCGGAGAAGAAGCCCCGGCUAACUUCGUGCCAGCCGCCGCAGUAAAAC